rnacentral:rRNA from 1 species
CCCUUAGAUGUCCUGGGCCGCACGCGCGUUACACUGAUGCAUUCAACGAGCUUAUAACCUUGGCCGAGAGGCCUGGGCAAUCUUGUUAACGUGCAUCGUGAUAGGGAUAGAUUAUUGAAAUUAUUAAUCUUGAACGAGGAAUUCCUAGUAAAUGCAGAUCAUCAUUCUGCGUUGAUUACGUCCCUGCCCUUUGUACACACCGCCCGUCGCACCUACCGAUUGAAUGAUCCGGUGAAGCCUCGGGAUUGUGCCCAGAGAACUUUAUUGUGAUUUGGGUGUGAGAACUUGUCUAAACCUUAUCAUUUAGAGGAAGGUGAAGUCGUAACA